GUGGUUACUUCGGCAGCACAUAUACUAAAAUUGGAAUGAUACAUGGAAGAUUAGCAUGGCCCCUGUGCAAGGAUAACACACAAAUUCAUGAAGUGUUCCAUAUUUUC
rnacentral:snRNA from 1 species